GGGGUUAUGGCUCAGUGGUAGAGUGCUUGCCUUGUGCAAGUGAGGCACUGAGUUCAAUCCUCUAGUACCA
rnacentral:tRNA from 1 species